AACGAACGCUGGCGGCAUGCCUAACACAUGCAAGUCGAACGAGACCUUCGGGUCUAGUGGCGCACGGGUGCGUAACGCGUGGGAACCUGCCCUUAGGUUCGGAAUAACUCCCCGAAAGGGGUGCUAAUACCGGAUAAUGUCUUCGGACCAAAGAUUUAUCGCCUUUGGAUGGGCCCGCGUUGGAUUAGCUAGUUGGUAGGGUAAAAGCCUGCCAUGGCGACGAUCCAUAGCUGGUCUGAGAGGAUGAUCAGCCACACUGGGACUGAGACACGGCCCAGACUCCUACGGGAGGCAGCAGAGGGGAAUAUUGGACGAUGGGCGAAAGCCUGAUCAAGCAAUGCCGCGUGAGUGAUGAAGGCCUUAGGGUUGUAAAGCUCUUUUACCCGGGAUGAUAAUGACAGUACCGGGAGAAUAAGCUCCGGCUAACUCCGUG
rnacentral:rRNA from 1 species